UCAGGCCUAACACAUGCAAGUCGAACGCCCUAGCAAUAGGGAGUGGCGCACGGGUGAGUAACGCGUGGGAACGUGCCCUUCACUACGGGACAACGUCGGGAAACUGACGCUAAUACCGUAUAAUGACUCCGGUCCAAAGAUUUAUCGGUGAAGGAGCGGCCCGCGUCUGAUUAGCUAGUUGGUGGGGUAAAAGCUUACCAAGGCGACGAUCAGUAGCAGGUCUGAGAGGAUGAUCUGCCACACUGGGACUGAGACACGGCCCAGACUCCUACGGGAGGCAGCAGUUAGGAAUAUUGGAAGAUGGGCGCAAGCCUGAUCC
rnacentral:rRNA from 1 species